UGGGGAAUAUUGCACAAUGGGCGCAAGCCUGAUGCAGCCAUGCCGCGUGUAUGAAGAAGGCCUUCGGGUUGUAAAGUACUUUCAGUCGGGAGGAAGGUGUCAAGGUUAAUAACCUUGGCAAUUGACGUUACCGACAGAAGAAGCACCGGCUAACUCCGUGCCAGCAGCCGCGGUAAUACGGAGGGUGCAAGCGUUAAUCGGAAUUACUGGGAGUAAAGCGCACGCAGGCGGUUUGUUAAGUCAGAUGUGAAAUCCUCGGGCUCAACCUGGGAACUGCAUCUGAUACUGGCAAGCUUGAGUCUCGUAGAGGGGGGUAGAAUUCCAGGUGUAGCGGUGAAAUGCGUAGAGAUCUGGAGGAAUACCGGUGGCGAAGGCGGCCCCCUGGACGAAGACUGACGCUCAGGUGCGAAAGCGUGGGGAGCAAACAGG
rnacentral:rRNA from 1 species